rnacentral:lncRNA from 1 species
UGAGGGGGGGCGGCCUUCAUCCUCCUCAUCCUCCUCCCUCCUCAUCCUCCUCAUCCUCCUCCGGCCUUCGGCCUCCUCCCUCCUCAUCCUCCUCCCUCCUCAUCCUCCUCCCUCCUCAUCCUCCUCCGGCCUUCAGCCUCCAGCCUUCAUCCUCCAGCCCUCCUCACCUUCCUCCCUCCUUCAGCCUUCAUCCCCCAGCCCUCCUCAUCCUCCUCUCUCCCUCGGCCUCCAUCCCUUGGCCUCCAGCCUUCAUCCUCCAGCCUUCAUCCUCCAUCCUCAUCCUCCUCCAUCCCUCCUCCUCCUUCUCCCUCCUCAUCCUCCCUCCCUCCUCCUCCCACCCUCAUCUUCCUCCCUCCUCCUCCUUCAUCCCUCCUCCUCCUCAUCCUCCUCCUUCCUCCCACCCUCAUCUUCCUCCCUCCCUCCUCAUCCUCCUCCUCCUCCUCCUCCUCCUCCUUCCUCCCUCCCUCAUCUUCCUCCCUCCUCCCCCUCCCUCCCUCCUCUUCCUCCCUCCCUCCUCCUCCUCCUUCCUCCCUUCCUCCCUCCUCUUCCUCCCUCCUCCUCCUCCCCAUCCUCCUCCCUCCUCCUCCUCAUCCUCCUCCUCCUCCUCAUCCUCCUCCCUCCUCCUUCAUCCCUCCUCCUUCUCCCUCCUCCUCCUCUCUCAUCCUUCUCCCUCCUCCCUCAUCUUCCUCCCUCCCUCCCCCUCCUCCUCCUCCUCUCCCCCCCCAACUCACCAGGGGGGGCUCCGGGAGCCGUUGGCCCAGCUCCAGCCCCUCUGGGGGUCCCGGCGCAGCCCCACCCAGUGGUGGGGGCCCCCCUGGUGCCGGCUCAGCAGCCCCUGGGGGGGUUACGGGGUCAGGGGGGGGUCCCAAAGGGUUAUGGGGUCGGGGGGGGCACAGGGUUAUCCCCCAAAUCCCCCCAAAUCCCCCAAACCCCCCCAAAUCCCCCCAAAUCCCUAAAAUCCCCCAAAUCCCCCAAAAUACCCCAAAUCCCAAAAACCCCUAAAAUCCCCCCAAAUCCCCCAAAUCCCCCAAUUUCCCCAAAUCCCCCAAUUCCCCCAAACCCUCCCAAUCCCCUCAAACCCCCCAAAUCCCCCAAAUCCCCCAAAACCCCCCAAAUCCCCAACCCCCCCCAAAUCCCCAAAAAUCCCAAAAUCCCCCAAACCCCUAAAACCCCCCAAUUUCCCCAAAUCC